rnacentral:rRNA from 1 species
UNUGGAGUAAAAGGCUAUGGCUCAACCAUAGUGUGCUCUGGAAACUGUCUGACUUGAGUGCAGAAGGGGAGAGUGGAAUUCCAUGUGUAGCGGUGAAAUGCGUAGAUAUAUGGAGGAACNCCAGUGGCGAAAGCGGCUCUCUGGUCUGUCACUGACGCUGAGGCUCGAAAGCGUGGGUAGCGAACAGGAUUAGAUACCCUGGUAGUCCACGCCGUAAACGAUGAGUGCUAGGUGUUAGGCCCUUUCCGGGGCUUAGUGCCGGAGCUAACGCAAUAAGCACUCCGCCUGGGGAGUACGACCGCAAGGUUGAAACUCAAAGGAAUUGACGGGGGCCCGCACAAGCGGUGGAGCAUGUGGUUUAAUUCGAAGCAACGCGAAGAACCUUACCAGGUCUUGACAUCCCGAUGCUAUUCUUAGAGAUAGGAAGUUACUUCGGUACAUCGGAGACAGGUGGUGCAUGGUUGUCGUCAGCUCGUGUCGUGAGAUGUUGGGUUAAGUCCCGCAACGAGCGCAACCCUUAUUGUUAGUUGCCAUCAUUAAGUUGGGCACUCUAGCGAGACUGCCGGUAAUAAACCGGAGGAAGGUGGGGAUGACGUCAAAUCAUCAUGCCCCUUAUGACCUGGGCUACACACGUGCUACAAUGGUCGGUACAACGAGUUGCGAGCCGGUGACGGCAAGCUAAUCUCUGAAAGCCGAUCUCAGUUCGGAUUGGAGGCUGCAACUCGCCUCCAUGAAGUCGGAAUCGCUAGUAAUCGCGGAUCAGCACGCCGCGGUGAAUACGUUCCCGGGCCUUGUACACACCGCCCGUCACACCACGAGAGUUUGUAACACCCGAAGNCGGUGUGGUAACCUUUUAGGGNCC